GCCUUGCUGACGAGUCCCAACUAGGACGAAACCAAGGUCCAAGGC
rnacentral:hammerhead_ribozyme from 1 species